UACGUAGGGUGCGAGCGUUGUCCGGAAUUAUUGGGCGUAAAGGGCUCGUAGGCGGUCUGUCGCGUCGGUAGUGAAAACUCAGGGCUUAACCCUGAGCCUGCUUCCGAUACGGGCAGACUAGAGGUAUGCAGGGGAGAAUGGAAUUCCUGGUGUAGCGGUGGAAUGCGCAGAUAUCAGGAGGAACACCAAUAGCGAAGGCAGCUCGCUGGGACGUUACUGACACUGAGGCGCGAAAGCGUGGGGAGCGAACAGG
rnacentral:rRNA from 1 species